rnacentral:rRNA from 1 species
CGACAGGCCUAACACAUGCAAGUCGAGGGGCAGCGCGGGAGAAGCUUGCUUUUCCUGGCGGCGACCGGCGCACGGGUGCGUAACAGGUGUGCAAUCUGUCCUAUACCAGAGCAUAGCCCAGCGAAAGUUGGAUUAAUUCUCUAUGUGAGCCGAGAGGGCAUCCUUUUGGUUUGAAACGCGAGGGUAUAGGGUGAGCACGCGUCUGAUUAGCUAGUUGGCGGGGUAACGGCCCACCAAGGCGACGAUCAGUAGCCGGUCUGAGAGGAAGGUCCCCCACACUGGUACUGAGAUACGGACCAGACUCCUACGGGAGGCAGCAGUGAGGAAUAUUGGUCAAUGGUCGGAAGACUGAACCAGCCAUGCCGCGUGCAGGAAGAAUGUCUUAUGGAUUGUAAACUGCUUUUGUAUGGGGCUAAUAAUAACUUUGCGAAGUUAGAUGCAGGUACCAUACGAAUAAGGAUCGGCUAACUCCGUG